AACGGGUGAGUAACACGUGGGCAACCUGCCCAAAGAGGGGGAUAACACUUGGAAACAGGUGCUAAUACCGCAUAACCAUAGUUACCGCAUGGUAACUAUGUAAAAGGUGGCUAUGCUACCGCUUUUGGAUGGGCCCGCGGCGCAUUAGCUAGUUGGUGGGGUAAAGGCUUACCAAGGCAAUGAUGCGUAGCCGAACUGAGAGGUUGAUCGGCCACAUUGGGACUGAGACACGGCCCAAACUCCUACGGAAGGCAGCAG
rnacentral:rRNA from 1 species